AGAGGUUGAUUCUGGCUCAGGAUGAACGCUGGCGGCGUGCCUAACACAUGCAAGUCGAACGGAGUUAUGCAGAGGAAGUUUUCGGAUGGAAUCGGCGUAACUUAGUGGCGGACGGGUGAGUAACGCGUGGGAAACCUGCCCUGUACCGGGGGAUAACACUUAGAAAUAGGUGCUAAUACCGCAUAAGCGCACAGCUUCACAUGAGGCAGUGUGAAAAACUCCGGUGGUACAGGAUGGUCCCGCGUCUGAUUAGCCAGUUGGCAGGGUAACGGCCUACCAAAGCGACGAUCAGUAGCCGACCUGAGAGGGUGACCGGCCACAUUGGGACUGAGACACGGCCCAAACUCCUACGGGAGGCAGCAGUGGGGAAUAUUGCACAAUGGGGGAAACCCUGAUGCAGCGACGCCGCGUGAGUGAUGAAGUAUUUCGGUAUGUAAAGCUCUAUCAGCAGGGAAGAAAAUGACGGUACCUGACUAAGAAGCACCGGCUAAAUACGUGCCAGCAGCCGCGGUAAUACGUAUGGUGCAAGCGUUAUCCGGAUUUACUGGGUGUAAAGGGAGCGUAGACGGAGAGGCAAGUCUGAUGUGAAAAUCCGGGGCUCAACCCCGGGACUGCAUUGGAAACUGUUUUUCUAGAGUGUCGGAGAGGCAAGUGGAAUUCCUAGUGUAGCGGUGAAACGCGUAGAUAUUAGGAGGAACACCAGUGGCGAAGGCGGCUUGCUGGACGAUGACUGACGUUGAGGCUCGAAAGCGUGGGGAGCAAACAGGAUUAGAUACCCUGGUAGUCCACGCCGUAAACGAU
rnacentral:rRNA from 1 species